rnacentral:rRNA from 1 species
GAUGAACGCUGGCGGCGUGCUUAACACAUGCAAGUCGGACGAUGAAAGCGGGAGCUUGCUCCUGCUGGAUUAGUGGCGAACGGGUGAGUAACACGUGAGCAAUCUGCCCCGAACUCUGGGAUAAGCGUUGGAAACAACGUCUAAUACCGGAUACGACGCGCGAAGGCAUCUUCUGCGCGUGGAAAGAACUUCGGUUCGGGAUGAGCUCGCGGCCUAUCAGCUAGUUGGUGAGGUAACGGCCCACCAAGGCGACGACGGGUAGCCGGCCUGAGAGGGUGACCGGCCACACUGGGACUGAGAAACGGCCCAGACUCCUACGGGAGGCAGCAGUGGGGAAUAUUGCACAAUGGGCGCAAGCCUGAUGCAGCAACGCCGCGUGAGGGACGACGGCCUUCGGGUUGUAAACCUCUUUUAGUAGGGAAGAAGCGAAAGUGACGGUACCUGCAGAAAAAGCACCGGCUAACUUCGUGCCAGCCGCCGCCGCCGUAA